CUGCGGCGGCUUAUCAUGCAAGUCGAACGGUAACAGUUGCAGCAAUGCAAGCUGACGAGUGGCGUACGGGUGCGUAACACGUAUGCAACCUACCUUUAACCGGGACAUAACUUCGCGAAAGCGGUGCUAAUAUCCCAUAGUAUUAUUUUGAGGCAUCUUGAGAUAAUUAAAGAUUUAUUGGUUAAGGAUGGGCAUGCGUCCCAUUAGUUAGUUGGUGAGGUAACGGCUCACCAAGACGAUGAUAGGUAGGGGUCCUGAGAGGGUUACCCCCCACACUGGUACUGAGACACGGACCAGACUCCUACGGGAGGCAGCAGUAAGGAAUAUUGGGCAAUGGGCGCGAGCCUGACCCAGCCAUGCCGCGUGCAGGAAGACGGCCCUAUGGGUUGUAAACUGCUUUUAUACGGGAUUAACCGCCUUGACGAGUCGGGGUUUGCAAGUACCGUAUGAAUAAGCAUCGGCUAACUCCGUGCCAGCAGCCGCGGUAAUA
rnacentral:rRNA from 1 species